AGGCGACUCUUAAAGUUGUUGCAGUUAAAAAGCUCGUAUUUUUAACCUUGGGUCUGGCUGGCCGGUCCGCCUCACCGCGAGUACUGGUCCGGCUGGACCUUUCCUUCUGGGGAACCUCAUGGCCUUCACUGGCUGUGGGGGGAACCAGGACUUUUACUGUGAAAAAAUUAGAGUGUUCAAAGCAGGCCUUUGCUCGUUUAUAUUAGCAAGGGUUAAUAGAAUAGGACGUUAUGGUUCUAUUUUGUUGGUUUCUAGGACCAUCGUAAUGAUUAAUAGGAACGGUCGGGGGCAUCAGUAUUCAGUUGCCAGAGGUGAAAUUCUUGGAUUUACUGAAGACUAACUACUGCGAAAGCAUUUGCCAAGGACGUUUUCAUUAAUCAAGAACGAAAGUUAGGGGAUCGAAGAUGAUCAGAUACCGUCGUAGUCUUAACCAUAAACUAUGCCGACUAGGGAUCGG
rnacentral:rRNA from 1 species